rnacentral:rRNA from 1 species
GACGAACGCUGGCGGCGUGCUUAACACAUGCAAGUCGAACGGAAAGGCCCUGCUUUUGUGGGGUGCUCGAGUGGCGAACGGGUGAGUAACACGUGAGUAACCUGCCCUUGACUUUGGGAUAACUUCAGGAAACUGGGGCUAAUACCGGAUAGGAGCUCCUGCUGCAUGGUGGGGGUUGGAAAGUUUCGGCGGUUGGGGAUGGACUCGCGGCUUAUCAGCUUGUUGGUGGGGUAGUGGCUUACCAAGGCUUUGACGGGUAGCCGGCCUGAGAGGGUGACCGGCCACAUUGGGACUGAGAUACGGCCCAGACUCCUACGGGAGGCAGCAGUGGGGAAUAUUGCACAAUGGGCGGAAGCCUGAUGCGGCAACGCCGCGUGCGGGAUGGCGGCCUUCGGGUUGUAAACCGCUUUCGCCUGUGACGAAGCGUGAGUGACGGUAAUGGGUAAAGAAGCACCGGCUAACUACGUG